AAAUAAACCACUCCAUUGCAGAAAAGCGUGGGCAGGCAGGACUUCACUCCACUGCAGCCCCGGGAAGUCGAAAUAAACAUUUGAGAUGGCUUGGCGUCUUCUUCCGACCAAGUGCGGCUCUCGGGCCGGGCCUGAGCCUGCAGCCUGUGUGCCCUCUGUCAUCAAGGCCCCCUCUCAGGAUAGGCUGCACCAAGGGUGGAACGGCGGACUUCCGGGGCCACUUCCAAGUCAUGCCCAUGCAGAUACCUCAGUAUACACGGCCCACAGUUAAGAAACCACAACCUGAGACAUUGUUUUAAAGAGGUGAACAUGCCUCCCCUCAAGUGACCCAGGAGUGUGACCCACAAAGACAAACACACAGAACCAUCUUCUGCAUUACUGGAAAAUUCAAUGGAAACCAGGACUCCAAGCUGCUGUCUCCUCUCUGCCGUAUCUGAGGCUGGAAAAACUUCCUAGGAGAAGGCAAGAGAAAACCACCAGGUCAGAGCCAAGGACUAAACUUUAAGGUGGAAGACGGCAGAGGGGCAGGUUCUCCCCUGCAUACCCCAAGGCCUCUCCUGCACCCGCGAGGCCUUCCUUGAGGGCCCAGGCCCCCGAAGUGCCUGCCCUCCUUCUGACAAAAGGAGGGCGUAGGAUGCGAAGGGGUAGUGCAACCAAUAAUGUUUGUGUAAACAACAACAGGGAAAUACAUGGGGGAAAUCUA